GGCUUAACACAUGCAAGUCGAGGGGCAGCAUGAACUUAGCUUGCUAAGUUUGAUGGCGACCGGCGCACGGGUGAGUAACACGUAUCCAACCUGCCGAUGACUCGGGGAUAGCCUUUCGAAAGAAAGAUUAAUACCCGAUGGCAUAGUUCUUCCGCAUGGUGGAACUAUUAAAGGAUUUCGGUCAUCGAUGGGGAUGCGUUCCAUUAGGUUGUUGGCGGGGUAACGGCCCACCAAGCCUUCGAUGGAUAGGGGUUCUGAGAGGAAGGUCCCCCACAUUGGAACUGAGACACGGUCCAAACUCCUACGGGAGGCAGCAGUGAGGAAUAUUGGUCAAUGGACGAGAGUCUGAACCAGCCAAGUAGCGUGAAGGAUGACUGCCCUAUGGGUUGUAAACUUCUUUUAUACGGGAAUAAAGUGAGGCACGUGUGCCUUUUUGUAUGUACCGUAUGAAUAAGGAUCGGCUAACUCCGUGCCAGCAGCCGCGGUAAUACGGAGGAUCCGAGCGUUAUCCGGAUUUAUUGGGUUUAAAGGGAGCGUAGGCGGACGCUUAAGUCAGUUGUGNAGUUUGCGGCUCAACCGUAAAUUGCAGUUGAUACUGGGUGUCUUGAGUACAGUAGAGGCAGGCGGAAUUCGUGGUGUAGCGGUGAAUGCUUAGAUAUCACGAAGAACUCCGAUUGCGAAGGCAGCCUGCUGGA
rnacentral:rRNA from 1 species